rnacentral:rRNA from 1 species
UAGGGAAUAUUGGGCAAUGGAGGGAACUCUGACCCAGCCAUGCCGUGUGCAGGAUGAAGGCGUUAUGCGUUGUAAACUGCUUUUAUAUAGGAAGAAAUAGUCCUUGCGAGGAAAGUUGACGGUACUAUAUGAAUAAGCACCGGCUAACUCCGUGCCAGCAGCCGCGGUAAUACGGAGGGUGCAAGCGUUGUCCGGAUUUAUUGGGUUUAAAGGGUGCGUAGGCGGUUUAUUAAGUCAGUGGUGAAAGACGGUCGCUCAACGAUUGCAGUGCCAUUGAUACUGGUAGACUUGAGUAUGAUUGAGGUAGCUGGAAUGGAUAGUGUAGCGGUGAAAUGCAUAGAUAUUAUCCAGAACACCAAUUGCGUAGGCAAGUUACUAAGUCAUAACUGACGCUGAGGCACGAAAGUGUGGGUAUCAAACAGGAUUAGAUACCCCAGUAGUCCCUGAGCGGGCUGGCAAGGCGCAU